CUUUCUUUAUUAACAUUUUAACCACUUCUCUCUAGAGAUUUCACUCAGUGUGACAUGCAAUCCAGAGAUCUGGAAAUAAAGGUCAUGUCAGAUUGAGAAAUCCUUUAGAUUAUAAAUUCUUCAAGUCCUAAAGUUGUGAAGACUGUGCAGGGCCGUCCUAAUUCCCUAAUAAGUUACUUAACAAGAAGUAAAUGCCUUCCCACUUUAUGAAAGCUUCCCUUGGCUCCAGACAUGGACAGGGCUGGCAAGUCUGCCUUCUCCAACACACACGGAAGUGUUUAUAGGGAAUGGGGUCUGAUCACAGUCAAAGAAAGGUCUAGGAAAAAAUCAAUGGACGUUCAUGAGAGAAAAAUUACACAUGAUGAUGAGGUUGUAGGACAUGUGGGAUGAGAAGAUUCUCGUGCUGAUACUCCAGAGAUGCCCAAGAGCACAGGAGGAGUUAUAGAUGACACCCGGACUGUGAUGCCAGACACUGGGAUUAGACCAGAGGACACCCAUAGGGAUAACAACACUCAUCUUUUUCUCCCCAUCUGAUAUCUCCUGAAGAAUGCCUAAAGUCUUAUGGAGAAUUCCUAUUUUCAUGGCAAUAGUUAUUUGUGUAAGUUCAGUAAGACUCAGUCCUCCUUGUUACUAUGAUAUCAUUGGAAAUAUUGGUGGUAUAUCCGUGGCUUUCAGUCAAAUUUCCUACUUGAAAAUGAUGUCCACAGGAUCAGAUAGGACCUCACACUUUCAGGAGCUAAGGUUGACUUGAUGGGAGUUUUGGGGAUCUGGAGAAGAGAGGAUGUCACUCAAAGCUGGAGAGACUGCAGGUGAGUCCUGAUGUCUGGGCUCCUAAUAUCAAGAGACUGUUAAAACUCCCAUCUGAGGUUCCUUAGGAAAGCCUGCAUCAGAGGAAACUAGUGAUGACUGUGCAAUCCCACUGCACCUGUGUAAAUCAUCAGGCCAAAUGGAACGAGAGCAGCCUUGUUUUAGCAUCAAGAAUGUUCUUCCUCAGAGAUGAUCUUGGAUCAAAAUGCAAGUGACUGUCACAGAAAUGUUCUGUCUCAUGGAAAAGUCCAGCAAGCACAGCCUUCUGAGGAUCGGAUUGUGGCCCUGUUCACUGACUCUCAGCUAUUUGGCACUUCUUUGUAAAUUGCGGCGAACUGAUGGAGAUGCAGACUGAGUCUUGGCUGAUAGAGAUGUCCUUGUGUCUGCCUCCCACGGGGCAGAAAGCAGUUUGUCAUGACCUAGAGGCCUGAUGUUCCCCUCAGACUCACUCAACUUUAGACAUUUCUUCAUGACUAUAGGUCCCUGGCCUCCAUUUUCUUAGAGCAUUUACUUUAGAAAUAUAAUUACAGUCUGUAAUUGCAGAUUCUUUCUCUACCCUUUUGAAAUGCAUAUAAGUCUACAUAGAAUUUUCUUGCCAGGUUUAGGAUCCAGGGAAUGUCUUUGGCAAUGGCCUGGGCCCAACUCUUUGAAAUGUAACCCUCCUGGCAGAUACAGCCACUACCUUCCAGUCUCUGAGGGAGGACAGGAGCCUAACUUCAGUGGGUCCCUUUACAAUCAGGAUUUAAAUUUACUUCCUGUCAAGAAUUUAUGGGAAGUUUUACUUUUCUUUUGAGUAAGGCUGAUCAGCAAACACAAGUCACCUCCAGUUCCCCCUACUUGCUCUUGAAAUCUCUCCAGCCUUUUGUUUCAGGGCUUGAGGUC
rnacentral:lncRNA from 1 species